AUUCAGCUGACUCGUCCCAAGUAAGAUGAAACGCGCGUCCUGGAU
rnacentral:hammerhead_ribozyme from 1 species